rnacentral:rRNA from 1 species
CCUACGGGUGGCUGCAGUGGGGAAUAUUGCACAAUGGGGGAAACCCUGAUGCAGCGACGCCGCGUGAGCGAUGAAGUAUUUCGGUAUGUAAAGCUCUAUCAGCAGGGAAGAAGAUGACGGUACCUGACUAAGAAGCCCCGUCUAACUACGUGCCAGCAGCCGCGGGAAUACGGAGGGGGCAAGCGUUAUCCGGAUGUACGGGGCGUAAAGGGAGUGUAGAGGGGGAUUCAAGCCAGAUGUGAAAGUCCGGGGCUCAACCCCGGGACUGCAUGUGGAACCGUGUGGCUGGAGUGUCGGAGAGGCAGGCGGAAUGCGUAGUGUAGCGGUGAAAUGCGUAGAUAUUAGGAAGAACACCGGUGGCGAAGGCAGCCUGCUGGACGAUGACUGACGUUGAGGCUCGAAAGCGUGGGGAGCAAACAGGAUUAGAUACCCGUGUAGUC